rnacentral:misc_RNA from 1 species
AUGCCAGAUAAUGAAAAAUGCACUCUAAAUCCAGAAGAACGAGUUCCCAUUUUACAACCAAAUGAAAAACUCUUAAAGAGACUGGAUAUUUUAGCUGAUCAUUUUCAAUCAACGUACAAUAUCAAACCUUUGUUUUUUGUAAGAGUUCCGGGAAGAGUUAAUUUAAUUGGUGAGCACAUCGAUUAUUGCGGAUAUGCUGUUUGUCCAAUGGCUAUUGAACAAGAUAUACUUAUUGCUGUAGCACUCUCAAACGACAACGUCAUUCAUCUUACUAAUUUAGAUUCAAAAUACAAAAAUUUCCAUUGCAAUUUUAAAGACAUUAGUGUUUGUAUUGGAGACGCCGACAGCGGUCCAGACUGGUACAAAUAUUUUCUCUGCGGCGUGAAAGGAGCUCUUGAAGUGAUCCCAGAGGAAUGUGUACCUUCGGGAAUUUUGGCUGCAGUUUGGGGUAACAUUCCUCCUAAUUCAGGACUCUCGAGUUCUAGCGCGCUAGUUUCCGCCGCUGUCCUUUUGAUUGUGCACGCUAGUCAGUAUCAAUUAUCGAAACGUGAAUUGGCUACCAUUAGUGCUAACGCUGAAAGAUAUAUUGGCACCCAAGGUGGUGGAAUGGAUCAAGCGAUCGCAUUCCUUGGAAAAGCAGGUUCUGCAAUGCUAAUCGAAUUCAACCCCUUGCGUGGUACCGAUGUCAUGUUACCGGAAACCGCAGUAUUCGUAAUAGCGCACAGCCAAGCUUGUCAUAACAAAGCUUCCACAACAGAUUAUAAUUUAAGAGUUGCAGAAUGUCGCUUAGCUGCACAGAUGAUAGCAAAGAAAAGAAAUAAACCUUGGCAACAUAUACAAAGACUAAUCGAUAUCCAAGAGAGUCUUAAUAUGAGCUUAGACGAAAUGGUUUCAGUUAUAACAACCGACCUUCAUGAAGAACCAUAUACCCUGAGCGAGAUUAGCAAGAACCUUGACACAACGAAUGAAAAACUUCGUGAAAUAUCAUUAUUACAAACUUUUAGCAAUGCGCAAAUUUUCAAAUUGAAACAACGUGCUCUCCAUGUAUAUCAAGAGGCGGCUAGAGUGCUCGAAUUCCAGCAUAUUAGUGAGAAAAAUGCAAUUGUGGAAGAGGAGAAGCUGAGACAACUAGGCAAUUUGAUGUCUAACAGCCAUUCCAGUAUGCACAAACUAUACGAGUGCAGUCAUCCUAGUGUCAAUUUACUCGUUGACAAAGCUAUGGCUUGCGGUGCUCUUGGUGCAAGACUCACGGGAGCUGGAUGGGGUGGCUGCAUAGUGGCCAUCAUAACGAAAGACAAGGUUUCUCAAUUUGUGGAUACACUGAAAAAGGAACUCAGUCUAUGUGGGAUAAAGGAUGGAUUCAAACUCGACGAUCUGGUUUUUCCAACGGAACCGAACCAGGGUGCUGCAAUUUAUAUGACCUAGUUUUUAUUCUCCAUCUGCUUCCUGCCUUCUUCUUGCAUUUUAUAAAUUGUUGACCAAUUAAUUUAUCAAAAGUUUGACAUCGUUUUGAAAUAAGGCAAUGACGAUACACUUUGUUCUCGGAUCCAGAACUUCCUGGUGGACGAACAUCAGCUUAGGCAAGGAAAUUUCUCAAGUCCUGUAAACUGUGGUAAACCAUGUGAAACAAGUUACGUAUUAACAGAGAAGGUAAAAUUGGUAAGCCGAGGAAAUACGUGAUGUCGAAAGUUUAAAUUCCUGAGAAAUCCAGAAAUUUAUUUACGUUACAGUUAUAUGACUAAUUUGCCGAUGAAUAUUUCUCUUCUCAUUAUAAUAAGUAUUAU